rnacentral:tRNA from 1 species
UGUAGCUCAGUUGGUAGAGCAUGGCACUUGCAAUGCCAGCAUUGUGGGUUCGAUUCCCGGGACCA